UCCGUUGAAGUCAGACUUUUGGAACCUAUGGUUCUCCUCCUCGCCUCCCACACGAUGCCACAAUGCGGGCCAAUGGGUUGGAAUGCGAUGAAGCGAAGCAUGAGGAAGAAGCUGGAGAAACCGAAUCCCCCUCCACUCACGACUACGGACUACCCUUCCCCAUCGCCCGCAUGGCCGGCCAUGCCAUUAUUCUCCACUGACACAUGAUCACCGUCAAAUCGUACUCUCGCGACGCCGUCACCAACCCACUCAUCGACAAACCCUUCAACCAUUCCGUGCUCCCCAAGUGUCACAACACUCUUCCUUACGAAGAAUUAUCCUCCAUCGCUCGCCUCACUGAUCACGAGGUCUUCGAUGUACCCUCGGCCUCGUCCCUAAAGGCGAUGGCGGCCUCUCUGAUACUUCCUUCGAUGGUGUUAUGCAGAUACUCCAGAUUUAGUUUAUAGGGAUCUACAGGCACAUGCUCGACUCUUUCAAGAAUUUUUAUCUGUGGAGAUCCAGGAUUGCCCUGCUCGAGCUUCCAGCGGCGGAUCAGCAUAGCAUGGUACUGUUUAUCUUGAUUUGUCUGAUGAACGAUGCCUUACUUGAUAUAUAUUAUUUGGAGAAGGCCUUUACCAUAUUCUUAUGAACACCUUUUUCUUUCCUUACAUUAGAUUUUUGAAUGGUUUUUUAAGCAAUUAAUGAAAUGGUAAUUUUAGCU